CUCCUCUUGGAGUCUUCUCAGUGAGCCUAGGACAAGGGAAAGAUUCCUUCCACUUUUGAACUGGACAACAGAGUCAGGUCAGCCUCUCAUAGUAUUCCUUGCACGUGCUUAUGAAACCAGGGAUCCAUAUGAUGCAAAACCAGUGCUCAGAGAACUUGAGGAGGAACACCUUUUUGAUGUAAUGGCAUUACAAAUUGCCAUUUUUUUCUUGCUACAAUAAAGGCUCCCUUCAAGUACUGGAAUGCCACAGUGAGGUCUCCCUGGAGCCUUCACUUCUCCAAGCUAAACAAGCCCAGUUCUGUCAACCUUUCUUCAUAGAGGAGUGCUUCAGCCCUCUGGUCAUCUUAGUGGUCCUCUGAAUCCAUUCUAAGAGCUCCAUGGUCUUCUUGUACUGGGGGCCCCAGGCCUGGACACAGAAUGUCUCCAGGGAUGGGGGAUUCACUACCUCUCUAUGCAACCUCUGACAGUGCUUCACUACUCAUUGAAAUAAACA